CGGCUCUCUCUCUCUCUCUCUCUCUCUCUCUCACUGUGUUUCCGCAGCAUUAUCAGGAAGAAAAUCAAGCAAACAGUAUCUAUCUCGGCUCCGCACGUUGCUUGCUGAUAGUGAUACACACACCCACCAACCAAGGCACAAAGCAUGAGCAGGAUAUUAGCUGCUGCCCAGUUAUACGCACGGAGAAGGGGCACGUCAGCUGCUGCUUCCGAAAUACAGAGCAUCAGCAGCUCAACUGGUGCUUCCGAGUACUGUUUUUUAUAUACAGGUGUGAAUCAAAAAGAAGAUGUAAGAAUCUCAUUAGACUCAAUUCCCAGGGACAUGUUCAAAAUCUGUAUAGAUUAUCAAAAGAUAACUCGAGUCUUCCAUUAUAUUGCUGGUAAGCAUCGUCCAGUAGAACUUCCUUAUGCUUCUACAUAUCACCUCCUUGCUGAGAGGAGUUUCUAUGUCCCUAUGCUUGAUGUCAAGCAAUUUUCCUCAAGGCCUAAAUGGACGCAUGUCUUGGCUUAUCAUCUUUCCAAGAUGGGUGUCCCACAAGGUGCGCAGCCAGCUCUCAUUGUAAGAAUACUUGACUACACUGAAGAGGCCGACAACCACAGCUUUGAGUUGCCAAUUCUUGUGCAUAUUGUGGAUGCCACUUAUCACUAUCUGAAGUCGGACCACAACAACGACAUCCUUGAUAGGGUUAUGAGGCAAUCCUCGGAAGCAUACAGGGCCAUGCUUAUUCCUGCAGCUCAAUCAUCCAUUCAGGGCUUGGAGAAUGUGAGGCUUGAUGAUCCUACUUUGGCCCCGUUGUCCUCAUGUAUUAUUUGUAUGGAGGGCCUCCUCCUUGAUCAUCAUGAUGAUCAUCACCCUGAUAAUAUUAAUGCCGUCCCUGCUUCUCAAGAUGAUCAUCAUGAUCAAGAUCAAGGUCAAGGGGUUGAUCAUUGCCAUCCACCAAGGACGAUCAAACGCUUGCCCUGCUUACACCAAUUUCAUGAAGAUUGCAUUGUCCCGUGGCUGCAGAUCAAUCACUUGUGUCCCCUGUGCCGAUACCCGCUGGAAGUGCGCGAGUCAUCAAAACCCAAACGAAGGAGAUUAUCACGAAAUAAUGAAGACCUGCAGCCAUGAUGCUCAGCUGGAACAAUAUAUGUUGCUGUCGAUCUUGAGUAUAAUCCUAACACAAGAUCAAAAGAAUGCCUCCUAGAUCAGAAUGAUAUGAACAUUAUACGUACCUUGGUUUUCCUUCGGCAGAAGCUGGCUUGAUAAUUAUGUGCUCUUCGGGAUCAUAAAAUUAACAUGCAUGCAUGUGGGAUCAUUGUACCUGGUGUUCCUCUUCUAGAGGCUUGGCAAGCUGAAGCUGGGUGCAUUCAUGGAUCAUCAAGUCUUUAGAAGAAAGAAGAGUGGAGGUUGGAGUUGAGACUCAAGGUUAUUAGUCUUACACCUCCCAAAUAUUAAGAUGCUGAUAUCUCUGUACACAGGAGUGGAAGAAGAAGAACUGAAGAAGGGUAGUGUUGGUGCAUAGUAUUAUUGUUCUAAAGGAUUGCAUAAUUUGGUCGCCAAGGGAAAAAUGGUGCAAGGUCUGUCACUCAGUACUUUCACUGCGUCACGUAAUGGUGGGGUGGGUGGAUCGAUGCCUUCGUGGAGGAAGCAUUUCAAAUUGAUGAGGAAAACCCGGAUAAGCUUGGGUAUUGAAAGGCAUGGUAGCUGCCACCUGUGCCAUCAAAGCUUGUUCUUUGGAGGUAACCAAAUGAGUGGCCGACGACAUUUCUUGAGGAUAAAAUAAAGAAUCGAAUCUUUAAUAUGCUUGUUAGCGAUCAAGGAAGUCAAUUCAUUAUCUAUUACAAGGAAGUGGAAUUCUACAAGAAAAUGGUUUUCUCCAAAUAUUAUAUGAAGGCAACUCACAAAUCCUAUAAGAUCAUCAUCUCAAAGGUAAACGUAAUCCUAGAACACCAACUUCAUCACCUUCAACUCUUCUGAUAAGUCUCUCACUAUCAUUUCUGAAUACCCAUCGACGAAUAGCCAACCGAAGGCCAUCACAAGUAAUGUCUGUAAAAACUCUAGCACUAUCAAGCUUCCUAUACAAGUUCUCAGCAAAACACCGCCAGCAUGAUGACCAAACUUGUCAUACUUGAUCUCCUUGCUCGGUGCAAAUCUAUUCAAGUCUGCCCCGUCCAAACUUGCAUCAAGCAUUGUCAAGAAUUUUUCAUAGCUAAUAGAAUUUUUCGUAGUGACUAUGCUGUGAAAAAGAGACACCGUCCUAUUUUAUAUUGGAUAAAGUUGUAUAACUUUUGAAAUUAAAUUAAUUAAAUAAGUAAAAUAAGGGUAAUAUUUCGAAUA